UAUUUUACAGUCUCGUUUGUUCUCCAGGCUUGGGCUCAGGUGAUCCUCCAGUCUCUGCAUCCUGAGUAGCAGGGAUUCCACAGGCCCACUACAGACCUUAUGUCUCUCUUGUGUUCUUGUUUCAAGUGUAACAGAAGAUACUAGCUGGGAUGCAGCUUCCUGAGGCAAAGAAGACUGGCUAGAACAACCUAGGCUCUUUCUGUCCUCUCCAUCUCUGAGUGUCGUGAAACUGUUCCGACGUCCCACAGAAGCCUUAAUUCUGGUGAUCACCACCAAAAUCUUCAUCUUCUGAACCUAGACCAACUGGCACAGUUUUCUCCCCAGAGAGCAGCCAAGUCUUCGUUAUAGAGAAAACACCAGGAUAAUCUGUCUGUGGUGACCUUUUGUAAAUAUCCAGACC
rnacentral:lncRNA from 1 species